UUUUAUUUGCACUUCAACGUUAACUCACCUUCUAGCUAAUCUCAUCAAUUUCGAAUUUAUAUGAAUUAUUAUACUGACAUCAGUUUCCCAUAUCAGUGAGGUACAGAUAUUAAUAUUGGUAAAGAGUAUAUACAUGAUUUGUUAUUCAAUUAUUGCAGAUUUAACUGGUCUUAGAACUCGAAAUUCGUUAAGGUGAACUAGAGCCGAAAGAUAAAUUCGAAUUUAUAAAAACGUGGUUUUUCUUGUACCAUAUCUGUAUUUAAACCGUGUAGGAUGUCAGUGUAACGUUAAAAGUAAGGAUUUAAUUUUAAACUGAAUAAUGUAAUCAGUUCUUCUAAAGGGGAAAGACUGUGAGGUAGAAAGUUUUUAAUUCUAUUUUGUUUUCGAUUUGUUUACCGUUUGUUUAUUAUUCAUCCUAUCAUCAUUUAGUUAGUGUAUGAAUUUUUCGUUUGCACUUUAGUUAUUCGCAUCAAUUUUAAAUUUGAAUUUAUCUUUCUAGUGGUGACUUAUAGAUGUUAAAGUUGUUAAGGAGUAUAUAAUUAAUGAUCACGUUAUUUCAAAUCUCUUGAUCUAAUCAAUUAUAGCAACUUUGCUGGUCUUUGGACUUAACUUCCCGUAACCUGAAUCGCAGCAGAAGGUAGAGAAGCUGCAGAUCUGAGAACACUACGCCUUUUCUUUGGGAAGUUCUGGCCAUGGGCUCAUUCAUAAACUGUAUGCAAGCUAUUUGAUACCUUACAAGGGGUCAAACAAGGAUUUUUUUUGAAAACAAUACUUAACAUCACCUGAAACCGUAGAAGAACGAACAGACCUAUCUAUAAAUGUUAUACAGAAGACAAUAUAUAACGUUGAAAAACACCGGAAGCUACAGCGACAAGCUUACUCACAUUAGUCUCUUUCGGACAAAAGUAGUGAAAAUUCUGUCUACACCAGAGAAAAUGGUCAUCGUCCUCUGCCGUUGCAGAAAAUUUCAAUGGCGCAAGAAGGUUUGAGAUUGCGACCCCCUCCAUCAAAAUAAAGGACUUAUUCUGGUGUGGACACCUCUCAUCCUUCGACGAAACAUACCGAUCAGUCAUCUACGUCCUCUACUUAACCUGAGUGGUCUUUGAACUCGAACAAUUUCUGUAAGGUGAACCAGAGCAGGAAAGUAGAGAAGAUUCA